rnacentral:rRNA from 2 species
AACACGGAGAGUUUGAUCCUGGCUCAGGAUGAACGCUGGCGGUCUGCUUAACACAUGCAAGUCGAACGGAGUAGAAAUACUUAGUGGCGGACGGGUGAGU